CUGCAUUAUCCACCAUGUACAACCUGGUCCCUGAGCAAAGACAAUCCCACGAAUGGGUUUGUCUGUACUCGAGGUAGAAUUGAUCCACACUGAUUUCUCUAACAAACCUCUGACAUGUGCCACUGGGACUUUAUCUCCGUCUACUAUAUUCAGGGGCUCAGACUGGGCAGGACCUGCUCGAUUGGUGGAACCUCAGCUGUUAACUAACCAGGUGGCCUUUGCUAAAUUUUGCUCCCAAUUUUUGAAAGAUCCCCCACCCAAUGCUUUUAAGGUGGUUUUUAACAGUCCAUUGUAAUUCUCCACUUUGCCUGCAGCUGGUGCAUGGUAGGGGAUAUGGUACACCCACUCAAUGCCAUGUUCCCUAGCCCAGGUGUUGAUAAGGCUAUUCUUGAAAUGAGUCCCAUUGUCUGACUCAAUCCUCUCAGGGGUACCAUGCCUCCAAAGGACCUGCUUUUCAAGGCCCAGAAUGGUGUUACGGGCUGUAGCAUGAGGCACAGGGUAGGUUUCCAACCAUCCAGUGGUGGAUUCUACAAUUGGUAGCACAUAACACUUGCCUUGGCAUGUCUGGGGCAGCGUGAUGUAGUCAAUCUGCCAGGCCUCCCCAUACUUGUACUUGGACCACCGCCCACCAUACCAUAGGGGCUUCAGCCAGUUGGCUUGUUUGAUUGCAGCACACGUCUCACAGUCAUGGAUCACCUGAGAAAUACUGUCCAUGGUUAGAUCCACCCCUCGGUCUCGUGCCCACUUAUAGGUGGCAUUUCUACCCUGAUGGCCUGAGACAUCACGGGCCCAUCAUGCUAGGAACAGCUCUCCCUUGUGUUCCCAAUUGAGGUCUAUCUUUGAUACCCCUAUCUUUGCAGCCUGAUCUACCUGCUGAUUGUUUUGCUGCUCUUCAUUAGCUCUGCUCUUGGAGACAUGGGCAUCUACGUGGCAAACCCUUACAGGUAGCUUCUCUACCCGGGUAGCGGUAUCUUUCCACUCUUCAGCAGCCCAAAUUGGUUUUUCUCUACGCUGCCAGUUAGCCUCUUUCCAUCUCUCUUGCCACCCCCAUAGAGCAUGGGCUACCAUCCAUGAAUCAGUGUAGAGGUAGAGCUUUGGCCACUUCUCCUUUUCUGCAAUGUCUAGGGCCAGUUGAAUGGCUUUGAGUUCAGCAAGCUGGCUUGAUCCACCUUCUCCUUCUUGUUGGUUGGUGGGGACAUAGCUGUGAUCUUGUUGAUGACAUCUGUAGGAAUCUGACGUUGUCCAUCUUGCCACUUCACUCCCAGGAGCUGGAUCUCUCAAGCAGGUCCUUUCACUUUUCUUGGUGGCAAAACCAGCUUCCAGGAGGAUUCGGACGAUUUUCUCUCCUUUCUUGAACACUUCUACUGCUGUGUUCCCCCAGACAGUGAUAUCAUCAAUAUACUGUGGAUGUUCUGGAGCCUCACCCUUUUCUAGUGCAGUCUGGAUCAGCCCAUGGCAGAUGGUAGGACUGUGCUUCCACCCCUGGGGCAGUCGGUUCCAGGUAUACUGCACUCCCCUCCAUGUAAAGGCAAACUGAGGCCUGCAUUCUGCUGCCAGAGGAAUGGAGAAAAAUGCAUUGGCAAUAUCAAUAGUGGCGUACCACUUCGCUGCCUUGGACUCCAGCUCGUACUGGAGUUCCAGCAUGUCUGGCACAGCAGCGCUCAGUGGUGGAGUCACUUCAUUCAAUGCACGGUAGUCCACAGUCAAUCUCCAUUCUCCUUCAGAUUUACGCACAGGCCAAAUGGGGCUGUUGAAGGGUGAGUGGGUUUUGCUGAUCACCCCUUGUCUCUCCAGCUCUCGGAUCAUCUUAUGGAUGGGAACCACAACAUCUCCAGUUGUUCUGUACUGUCGACGAUGCACUGUUGAAGUGGCAAUUGGUACCUUUUGUUCUUCUCCCUUCAAAAGUCCUACUGUAGUUGGAUUCUCAGACAGUCCAGGCAAGGUGUUCAAUUGCUGGAUGCCCUCUGUCGCUACAGUUGCUAUCCCAAAUGCCCACCUGAGUCCCUUUGGGUCUUUAAAAUACCCCUUUCGAAGGUAAUCUAUGCCCAAAAUGCAUGGGGCCUCUGGGCCAGUCACGAUAGGGUGUUUCUUCCACUCAUUUCCUGUCAGACUUACAUCAGCUUCCACCACAGUAAAGUCCUGUGAUCCACCUGUCACACCAGCAAUAGAGACAGAUUCUGCCCCUAUGUGUCUCAAUGGAAUUAACGUGCAUUGUGCACCAGUAUCAACCAAAGCCUUAUAUCUUUGUGGUUCUGAUGUGCCAGGACAGCGAAUCCACACAGUUCAGAAAACAUGGUUUUCCCUUGCCUCUACCUGGCUAGAAGCAGGGCCCUUUUAAGCCUGGUUAUCCUUCUUGCCUUGGGCAUAUGUCUUAGAGGCAGGGAUCAGACAUGUCAUCAUCAUGCCUGGCAGUUUGGCUACGGACAAGUGGAGUAGCUCUCCUUUUGGUGGCACUUCCUCUCUGAGUCUUGCCUUCCUUCAAUUCACACACCCUUGUUCCAGAGCAGCAGUAGAUUUUCCAUCCCAUCUCCUCAUGUUUUCUCCACAAUCACACAGGAAGAACCACAGCUCAGCUUGUGGGGUGUACCUUCUCUCACCAUCUGGGGAAUGUCUGCGUUAGCUACCAGAACCUCUGAUCUGUACUGCUGAGAUUUGGAGAAGGUCCUUGUUAAUGUCCUCCCUGAGUCUCAUGAUUCUCCUCUAUCUUAUCUUCUAAUUUCUGUAGAUGUGCUUCCACCACUGCGAUUCUGGCAUACUUUGGGCCAUGUACAGCAUCUGCAUAUGCUCAGAGCUUCUUCUCCAUGUUGAGCACAAUCUCAUCCCUCUCAUCCCGUCUCAUUAUUGCUAAAGCAGAAGCGUAUUCAUGUGGCCCAAGCCGUAUAAGUUUUCGCCACGUCACAGAUGUACAUGGUACCAAGUCUGGAUUCCUAGUUGUUAUUUCAUCUGAGAAGAUAAUCUCUGCCACUGCCAUUUCUCUCAGACGUUGGAUCCCUUGUUCUAUAGUCUUCCACUGGGUCUGCUGCAUAUAAAGAUCAUCUGCACACAGGUAUCUUUGUGCUACACUUUCCAGAACCCGUGCCCAGAGGCUGUGAGGGUUAGCCCACCUCAUCAUUCCUUGGUCAAUGACAGGAUCAUGUGACAGGGAUCCCAAAUGUCUCACUUCAGUGCCGUCCAGAAUUGUAGCCUUGCCUGCAGCAUCCCAAAGACGGACCAACCAACUAAUUACAGACUCAUCAGGUCAUCGCGUGUAAUCCUUUCUUAGGUCACAACGGUCCUUCAGGGAAAAGGACUCAAUAUUUGCCUCUGAUCUUGUACCAGUUGCAUUGACUCCUGAUUUUAUGUCAGCAGGCGUUGAGGGUCCUUCUCCUGCAUUAUCAUAAUCAUCGUCAUCAUCCACUGGUCGAUCGGUCUUUUCUGUGCACUUUCCACUUCUUGUGCUAGUAGCAACAGCCAUUGGUUGAGGUUUGGCUGCCGAGUCUGGUUUAGCUGCUAGCCUAGGCUCACUGUCUGGUUUAGCUGCUGGCUUUGAGCCGGGGGUGUUGUCUGCAGCCUGAGUGACUGGGAUAGCUGCUGAUUUAUCUCCCUGCCCCCCUUCCUCCAUCUGCUGCCCUACAGUAUCUAGCAGGGUGCGAUAAGCAUAUGCCAGGGCCCAGCUCACUGCAAUGAUCUUUUUCUCCUUAGGGUCAUCAUGACACUUCUCUUCCAGGUAUUUCCCACCUCAGCUAGAUUCUGAAUUUGUUCACAUGGAAAGUCCCAGGCUAUAGGGUCAGAAAUUCCUUUAGAUUUGACCCAUUCCUUCCUUUUUCCACACCACUCAGGAUUUCUAACACCUGGGUCUACUCCUGGGUCAGAGGUCUCAUCAGCCCCUCUAGAAAUCUCAGCCCUCAUUCUAGAGAGACUGCAGACUGUACAGAUAAAGCUUACCAGAUUAAACACCAGGAAGAUGGUCUCUUUAACCAUCAGGGGAAACUAAACAUUGUCUAAUAGGGAGGUAACAGAUUCAGAGGAGAAACAGGAAAGCAAAGGCUGACACUCUCUAACUGUCAACAUGGAGCAAAUCUUGCUCUAUGUCUAUGCAGGAUAAAAAUAUCUUAACUUACAUUACAGACAAGCUGGUUAAAUAGUUUCCUUUUAUCUUUCAGGGAGAGGGGACCAUCUACCAGGACUGAGGUACUUGGUGUCCAUAUCAAGUCUACAGGAGGUCAUUUAACCUUGAGCACACACAGGGUUUCAGAUACAGACAUUCAUUCAUUUCAGGAGUCCUAUGCCUUUGGUCAAUAGUCUGGCUGCUAUCUGCUUUUAUUGUAUGAGUGCUUUCUGUACCAUGGUAUUAGGGGACAUAAGUAUCUGGUCCUGGUACCUGGCACCUGGUAUGUGUGUACCUAGGUACAGAGAUCCCAGGGAGUGGUCAACAGAACUUGCUGCUGGAGCCUCACUCUGCUGUGAUCCAGACCAGUGGUCACUGCUGUGAUCCAUGGCUAGUUUUCAAACUAGCUGUGUUAUUUCGGCAUAACUUUUAACUGCCUGGUAAUGACAGGUUCAUGGUAAAAAAUAAAAAAUAAAAAAUAAAAAA
rnacentral:lncRNA from 1 species